rnacentral:rRNA from 1 species
AUCAUGUUGUUUAAUUCGAUGAUACGCGAAGAACCUUACCAGGUCUUGACAUCCCCCGCAAUGCUCUGGAGACAGAGCGGAGGUAUCCGGGGAGACAGGUGGUGCAUGGUUGUCGUCAGCUCGUGUCGUGAGAUGUUGGGUUAAGUCCCGCAACGAGCGCAACCCUUAUUCUUAGUUGCCAGCACUAACGGUGGGCACUCUAAGGAGACUGCCGGUGACAAACCGGAGGAAGGUGGGGAUGACGUCAAAUCAUCAUGCCCUUUAUGACCUGGGCCACACACGUGCUACAAUGGCCUAUACAAAGGGUAGCGAAGCUGUGAAGUGGAGCCAAUCCCAAAAAGUAGGUCUCAGUUCGGAUUGUAGGCUGCAACUCGCCUAUAUGAAGUCGGAAUCGCUAGUAAUCGCGGAUCAGCAUGCCGCGGUCGAAUACGUUCCCGGGCCUU